CACCACCACAAGUAGUCCUCACUGCAUAACUGGAAAUAGCACAGGACGAUGGUUAUCUCGGCACAGGUCACUAUCAGAAUGACAAAAACGAUGAAGAGGAAGCCGAAGAGGUAGUAAAACUGGUUGAGCCAGAUUGAGGUAGUACGAUAGUGAUCUCGGCACAGGUGACUAUCAAAAUGACAAACACGAUGAAGAGGAAGCCGAAGAGGUAGUAAAAUUGGUUCAGCCAGAUUGAGGUAAGAAUGAAAAAGAGCUCAAUGAAAACAGCUCCAAAUGGAAGUAUGCCUCCGAUUAGGACUGAGAAGAUGGGGUUCAUGUACCAAGCCUGCUCCGGGAUCUGCCUGGGUAUUUUAUUCGUCUUCACAGGAUCCUCAAU
rnacentral:lncRNA from 1 species